GAUGAACGCUGGCGGCGUGCUUAAUACAUGCAAGUCGAGCGAACAGACGAGGAGCUUGCUCCUCUGACGUUAGCGGCGGACGGGUGAGUAACACGUGGAUAACCUCCCUAUAAGACUGGGAUAACUUCGGGAAACCGGAGCUAAUACCGGAUAAUCUAUUGAACCGUAUGGUUCAAUAGUGAAAGACGGUUUUGCUGUCACUUAUAGAUGGAUCCGCGCCGCAUUAGCUAGUUGGUAAGGUAACGGCUUACCAAGGCAACGAUGCGUAGCCGACCUGAGAGGGUGAUCGGCCACACUGGAGCUGAGACACGGUCCAGACUCCUACGGGAGGGAGCAGUAGGGAAUCUUCCGCAAUGGGCGAAAGCCUGACGGAACAACGCCGCGUGAGUGAUGAAGGUCUUCGGAUCGUAAUACUCUGUUAUUAGGGAAGAACAAAUGUGUAAGUAACUAUGCACGUCUUGACGGUAACUAAUCAGAAAGCCACGGCUAACUACGUG
rnacentral:rRNA from 1 species